UACGAAGGGGGGCUAGCGUUGCUCGGAAUUACUGGGCGUAAAGCGCACGUAGGCGGCUUUCUAAGUCAGGGGUGAAAUCCUGGAGCUCAACUCCAGAACUGCCUUUGAUACUGAAGAUCUUGAGUUCGGGAGAGGUGAGUGGAACUGCGAGUGUAGAGGUGAAAUUCGUAGAUAUUCGCAAGAACACCAGUGGCGAAGGCGGCUCACUGGCCCGAUACUGACGCUGAGGCACGAAAGCGUGGGGAGCAAACAGGG
rnacentral:rRNA from 1 species